UCCCCCAUAGGCCUGAGGUACUGGAAGGUCCUCAGGCCGAAAGGGGCUCUGCCCGCCCGAGGAUGGGCCGGCGGCCGAUUAGGUAGUUGGUGGGGUAACGGCCCACCAAGCCGAAGAUCGGUACGGGCCAUGAGAGUGGGAGCCCGGAGAUGGACACUGAGACACGGGUCCAGGCCCUACGGGGCGCAGCAGGCGCGAAACCUCCGCAAUGCGGGCAACCGCGACGGGGGGACCCCCAGUGCCGUGGCAACGCCACGGCUUUUCCGGAGUGUAAAAAGCUCCGGGAAUAAGGGCUGGGCAAGGCCGGUGGCAGCCGCCGCGGUAAUACCGGCGGCCCGAGUGGUGGCCGCUAUUAUUGGGCCUAAAGCGUCCGUAGCCGGGCCCGUAAGUCCCUGGCGAAAUCCCACGGCUCAACCGUGGGGCUUGCUGGGGAUACUGCGGGCCUUGGGACCGGGAGAGGCCGGGGGUACCCCUGGGGUAGGGGUGAAAUCCUAUAAUCCCAGGGGGACCGCCAGUGGCGAAGGCGCCCGGCUGGAACGGGUCCGACGGUGAGGGACGAAGGCCAGGGGAGCGAACCGGAUUAGAUACCCGGGUAGUCCUGGCUGUAAAGGAUGCGGGCUAGGUGUCGGGCGAGCUUCGAGCUCGCCCGGUGCCG
rnacentral:rRNA from 1 species